UACGUAGGGGGCGAGCGUUGUCCGGAUUUAUUGGGCGUAAAGAGCUCGUAGGCGGUUCCGUAAGUCGAGUGUGAAAAAUCUGGGCUCAACCCAGUGGAGCACUCGAUACUGCGGUGACUGGAGUACGGUAGAGGAGUGUGGAAUUCCUGGUGUAGCGGUGAAAUGCGCAGAUAUCUGGAGGAACACCGGUGGCGAAGGCGGCAUUCUGGACCAAUAUUGACGCUGAGGAGCGAAAGCCAGGGGAGCAAACGGG
rnacentral:rRNA from 1 species